GGGGACGUAGCUCAGCUGGGAGAGUGCUGCAAUGGCAUUGCAGCACUCAGGGGUUCGAUCGCCCUCGUCUUCACCA
rnacentral:tRNA from 1 species